rnacentral:lncRNA from 1 species
GAUGUCAGUUUUGUCUCAUCUUUAGGGACCCCCUGGUGGUGGCGGCCCUCCAGGAACACCUAUUAUGCCCAGUCCCGCAGAUUCAACAAAUUCCAGUGACAACAUCUACACAAUGAUUAAUCCGGUGCCGCCUGGAGGCAGCCGGUCCAACUUCCCGAUGGGUCCCGGCUCGGACGGUCCGAUGGGCGGCAUGGGUGGCAUGGAGCCACACCACAUGAAUGGAUCAUUAGGGUCAGGGGACAUAGACGGACUUCCAAAAAAUUCUCCUAACAACAUAAGUGGCAUUAGCAAUCCUCCAGGCACCCCUCGAGAUGACGGCGAGCUAGGAGGGAACUUCCUCCACUCCUUUCAGAACGACAAU